CUACGGGGCACUGCAGUGGGGAAUAUUGGACAAUGGGCGAAAGCCUGAUCCAGCCAUGCCGCGUGUGUGAAGAAGGCCUUCGGGUUGUAAAGCACUUUCAGUGGGGAAGAAAGCCUUGGGGCUAAUACCCUCGAGGAAGGACAUCACCCACAGAAGAAGCACCGGCUAACUCCGUGCCAGCAGCCGCGGUAAUACGGAGGGUGCGAGCGUUAAUCGGAAUUACUGGGCGUAAAGCGCGCGUAGGCGGUCUGAUAAGCCGGUUGUGAAAGCCCCGGGCUCAACCUGGGAACGGCAUCCGGAACUGUCAGGCUAGAGUGCAGGAGAGGAAGGUAGAAUUCCCGGUGUAGCGGUGAAAUGCGUAGAGAUCGGGAGGAAUACCAGUGGCGAAGGCGGCCUUCUGGACUGACACUGACGCUGAGGUGCGAAAGCGUGGGUAGCAAACAGGAUUAGAUACCCCUGUAGUC
rnacentral:rRNA from 1 species